AGUGAACGCUGGCGGUAGGCCUAACACAUGCAAGUCGAACGGCAGCACAGUAAGAGCUUGCUCUUACGGGUGGCGAGUGGCGGACGGGUGAGGAAUACAUCGGAAUCUACUUUUUCGUGGGGGAUAACGUAGGGAAACUUACGCUAAUACCGCAUACGACCUACGGGUGAAAGCAGGGGAUCUUCGGACCUUGCGCGAUUGAAUGAGCCGAUGUCGGAUUAGCUAGUUGGCGGGGUAAAGGCCCACCAAGGCGACGAUCCGUAGCUGGUCUGAGAGGAUGAUCAGCCACACUGGAACUGAGACACGGUCCAUACUCCUACGGGAGGUAGCAGUGGGGAAUAUUGGACAAUGGGCGCAAGCCUGAUCCAGCCAUACCGCGUGGGUGAAGAAGGCCUUCGGGUUGUAAAGCCCUUUUGUUGGGAAAGAAAAGCAGCAGGUUAAUACCCCGCUGUUCUGACGGUACCCAAAGAAUAAGCACCGGCUAACUUCGUG
rnacentral:rRNA from 1 species